rnacentral:rRNA from 1 species
AAAUGAAUUGACGGGGGCCCGCACAAGCAGCGGAGCAUGUGGUUUAAUUCGACGCAACGCGAAGAACCUUACCAGGUCUUGACAUCCAUUUAAAACCUCAGAGAUGAGGUGUCUCGCAAGAGGAAAUGAGACAGGUGGUGCAUGGUUGUCGUCAGCUCGUGUCGUGAGAUGUUGGGUUAAGUCCCGCAACGAGCGCAACCCUUACCAAUAGUUGCCAUCGGGUAAAGCCGGGCACUCUAGAGGGACUGCCGUGGACAACACGGAGGAAGGUGGGGACGACGUCAAAUCAUCAUGCCCCUUACGACCUGGGCUACACACGUGCUACAAUGGCCGUUUUACAGAGGGAAGCCAAGCCGCAAGGCGGAGCGAAUCCCAGAAAAGCGGUCCCAGUUCGGAUCGUGGGCUGCAACCCGCCCACGUGAAGUUGGAGUUGCUAGUAAUCGCGAAUCAGCAUGUCGCGGUGAAUACGUUCCCGGGCCUUGUACACACCGCCCGU